UGUGUCAUAGGUUUUGCUGUUCAAGGUGGAAUCCAGAACUCCUUGCAAUCGAAAAUCUCUAUACGUUUUCUAAGAAGAUAAGGACCAUGUUGAAAGAAAGAGAGUAAGGAAGUUUCCAAGAAUAGUGCAGAUCAACUGCUACUUGCAUCCUUUGGACUGAGAUGAACAUCUGGAAGUUUCAUUGUGUAGAACAACUGUCUGAGGGAAAAUGUGUUAAAGACAGCCUUGAAGGCAUUUGCAGGAGAGAACAGGUGGUCGGGGAAAGUGUUCUACAGCUUCCUGUUAUCAAUCUUGUCCUGCAUUUGUCUAGUAACAGGUAGUUCCACCCAUAGUUGUGCAUAGGUGGCGAGUAGUUUAUAUGCACAAUGAUGGAAUUAUACAACUUCUCUUUCUACAAAUAGUUACUUUUUGUAUUAGCAUCUUUGAUUUUACAGAAUGCAGCUGCAACUUAGACAUGCAAGUAUUAGUAAAAUGCACGUUCUGUUUAACACCAUGAUGCAGUUUAAAGGUGUUUGGAUAGCUAGUGUACCUAGAGAAACUGUAGAUUUUUGUGUGUGCUGCUAUAACUGUAAUGGCACAAAAGACACUUAACAUUCAUUCCAGUGCCCGCCAAACUAACACCCAAUAAUAAUGUGCUGAUACCUAUUGCUUUUAUUUAUGGAAAUUAAAAGCUCCUUUAGUAAUUUA